AGAGAGGUGUCCGAGUGGUUGAAGGAGCACGCCUGGAAAGUGUGUAUACGGCAACGUAUCGAGGGUUCGAAUCCCUUCCUCUCUGCCA
rnacentral:tRNA from 1 species